AUGCGCCUACGGGGCGCAGCAGUGGGGAAUAUUGGGCAAUGGGCGCAAGCCUGACCCAGCAACGCCGCGUGAAGGAAGAAGGCUUUCGGGUUGUAAACUUCUUUUCUCAGGGACGAAGCAAGUGACGGUACCUGAGGAAUAAGCCACGGCUAACUACGUGCCAGCAGCCGCGGUAAUACGUAGGGGGCAAGCGUUAUCCGGAUUUACUGGGUGUAAAGGGAGCGUAGGGGGCAUGGUAAGCCAGAAGUGAAACCCCGGGGCUCAACCCCGCGGAUUGAUUUUG
rnacentral:rRNA from 1 species